rnacentral:rRNA from 1 species
AAACUAAUUUAAUUUGGCGGCAUUUAAUCUAUUUAGAGGAAUUUGUCUAUUAAUCGAUAAUCCACGUUAAAUUUCACUUUAAUCUCAAACUUAUAUACCACCAUCUUAAGAACAAUUUCUAAAAUAUUUCUCUUAAUAAUUUAUAAUAAGUUAGGUCAAGGUAUAAUCAACAUUAAAGAAUAAGAUGAAUUACAUUAAAAAAUAUUUAAAGAUUACUAAUAAAUAUAUUAAUAUAAGUUAGAAUUUAAAAGUAAUAUAUUAAUAAUAAUUAUAUAUGAUAAAGUCAAUAAAUGUGUACACAUCGCCC